rnacentral:rRNA from 1 species
GAUGAACGCUAGCUACAGGCUUAACACAUGCAAGUCGAGGGACCGGCGCACGGGUGAGUAACCCGUAUCUAACCUGCCCUUUACUCGGGGAUACCCUUCCGAAAGAACGAUUAAUACCCGAUAUAAUGGAUGGGGAUGCGUUCCAUUAGGUUGUUGGUGAGGUAACGGCCUACCAAACCUUCGAUGGUUAGGGGUUCUGAGUGCAAGGUCCCCCACAUUGGAACUGAGACACGGUCCAAACUCCUACGGGAGGCAGCAGUGAGGAGUAUUGGUCAAUGGGCGUUAGCCUGAACCAGCCAAGUAGCGUGAAGGAUGAAGGCUUAUGAGUCGUAAACUUCUUUUAUGUAAGAAUAUGUAUUAUAUGAAUAAGGAUCGGCUAACUCCGUGCCAGCAGCCGCGGUAAUUC